AGAUACAUCGUGUCCAGUUUACCAAGAGGCACAGGUCUGACAGACACUAGUGACUCAGCAGCUUCAACUCUGCAGUACCCUAAAUGAGGAAAGUCCACUGUGCAGCUCGAGGGUUCCACCAGCAGCAGCAGCGGUUCAACAUAACACACCUCCAGCUGCGUACUGGAUUGACCCUGAAAGCAGAGCUUCCUAGAGGAAAGGAAAAACAACCUACCCAUAACCCCCACCCCCCACAUCCAUCCUCUUCAGUCUGAUCUGUGUUUCCUCACAAUGUGUAGUUGUCAAGCUAUAACAACGAAUGGACUAUUGUGGCUAAUUAUGGACACAACCCUCCCCCUCUCUUUCUUUAAGCACAUGAAAAUCCAAUCAACAAUGCCUCUAUGUCCAUUCAAUAUGCAUGAUAAGGGUGCAUGGCUUUAACCACACUACAAGACUUUCAUACAAAAAAGGUUCAAGAGGAGAUACUCGCAAAGACUGUACGAAAAAUUGCACCCUCAGAUUUUUAAAGAAGCAUCAACAAGGACUAUUAAGAGUGGACAUGGACAUGUUGAAAUGCCUUUAAGAGACUGUUUUCUCUCUCUAAAAUUGAAACAUGUUGGAUAUUACAUUUGUAACCUCUGUGCUUUGUCUUGCUCCAUAACAGCAUUGAUGUAUAACAACUUAACUAAGAAGUAACACAGCACAAUUAACUAAAUGUCAAAAAAGCACCUAACUAAAAUUUAAAAGUAUGUAAACAAAAGGGAAUCAGUAUUUUAUAAGUGUGGUAGCUUUUAGUCAUUUUAUGUUUUGUACUUGACUUUGUGCUUUAAAUGUGAGUUAGGCUUACAAAUAUGAAUGAGUGUCCUGAGAGAUUAAGUUAAGGAAACCAGUAUAAUAAACAGAUAAAAGUGAGGCCUUCAGCCAUUAUGUAUCUGCCUUUCAGUUGUUUCUGCAUGGGAUAAUCAAAGUACUUUAAUAGCUUUAGAUAUUUUAUAAUGUUGAGAAAUCCAUUUUCUGUAGUUUGAGCUUACUGUUUUAUUUUUUUAAACAAUAUGGAAGAUUCAGUUUUAAUGACCACAAUGAAGAAGUACAACAGCAUCAUUUGUUUCUAUGGAUUCAGAAAGUUAAGUGUACUCUCAGCUUAAAUAUAAAUUAACAAUGUGCUUGAAUAUUAUACCCACGUGGACAUCACUGGAGAAUAGGAGUCUAGGGGAUUAAUCUGAACCCAAGUGAAAAAAGUGAGUUCUUGAGAAUGGUUGGAUUACUAACUCCUUAUGACUACUGCUUCACUUUUUUUAAAGCCAAACUAUGGAUGUUCCUUAACUCCAAUGUCUUCUGAGAUUGUGUUACAAGUUAAAAAUUCAAGUUCAUCAUGUCUUAAUGUUUACUUUACAAUAGUGAAAUCCUGAGUACUGCUCGUGUGUAUUACUGACUACUGUAUGUAUAUGCAUAUAUAACACACAAAUAGUGAUAUAGAUGAGACUGACAUAUAUACAUCUGAAUCUAUAAAUAUGAUUUUCUUUUUCAAUACCAAUACUUAACUUUUUAAGGUGAACAAAAACAGUGAAACUCCUGUGCCAUCAGAUUUAUGUGCCAUCUAUGUGCAACACUAAAAUUCAUCAUGUUGUCACACAACUCUUUUGCACAGUUCAGAUUGCAUUACUUAGAUAAAGUUGUAAUGUUUUACAGGCAAACAUAUACAGUAAGUGCUUUUUGUGGUUUAGUGGUACUUUUAUGGUGCAACAUGUAGUAACUUGUGUAAUGUGAGAUUUUUGUCUGCUACGGUUUGGUCGUUUUUGAUCUAUUAAAUACAACAACAAAAUACAACAGCAAACUACAUGGUGAACUUUUAAAUCUCUUGAGUUUUGCAUUAAAAGGCAUAACAAU